CCUACGGGAGGCAGCAGUGGGGAAUAUUGGGCAAUGGGCGCAAGCCUGACCCAGCAACGCCGCGUGAAGGAAGAAGGCUUUCGGGUUGUAAACUUCUUUUGUCAGGGAAGAGUAGAAGACGGUACCUGACGAAUAAGCCACGGCUAACUACGUGCCAGCAGCCGCGGUAAUACGUAGGUGGCAAGCGUUGUCCGGAUUUACUGGGUGUAAAGGGCGUGUAGCCGGGUUGACAAGUCAGAUGUGAAAUCCUGCGGCGUAAGCGCAGAACUGCAGUUGAAACUGUUGAUCUUGAGUACUGGAGAGGCAGACGGAAUUCCUAGUGUAGCGGUGAAAUGCGUAGAUAUUAGGAGGAACACCAGUGGCGAAGGCGGUCUGCUGGACAGCAACUGACGGUGAGGCGCGAAAGCGUGGGGAGCAAACAGGAUUAGAUACCCCAGUAGUC
rnacentral:rRNA from 1 species